AGAGUUUGAUCAUGGCUCAGAGCGAACGCUGGCGGCAGGCUUAACACAUGCAAGUCGAGCGGGCGUAGCAAUACGUCAGCGGCAGACGGGUGAGUAACGCGUGGGAACGUACCUUUUGGUUCGGAACAACCCAGGGAAACUUGGGCUAAUACCGGAUAAGCCCUAACGGGGAAAGAUUUAUCGCCGAAAGAUCGGCCCGCGUCUGAUUAGCUAGUUGGUGAGGUAACGGCUCACCAAGGCGACGAUCAGUAGCUGGUCUGAGAGGAUGAUCAGCCACAUUGGGACUGAGACACGGCCCAAACUCCUACGGGAGGCAGCAGUGGGGAAUAUUGGACAAUGGGCGCAAGCCUGAUCCAGCCAUGCCGCGUGAGUGAUGAAGGCCCUAGGGUUGUAAAGCUCUUUUGUGCGGGAAGAUAAUGACGGUACCGCAAGAAUAAGCCCCGGCUAACUUCGUGCCAGCAGCCGCGGUAAUACGAAGGGGGCUAGCGUUGCUCGGAAUCACUGGGCGUAAAGGGUGCGUAGGCGGGUCUUUAAGUCAGGGGUGAAAUCCUGGAGCUCAACUCCAGAACUGCCUUUGAUACUGAGGAUCUUGAGUUCGGGAGAGGUGAGUGGAACUGCGAGUGUAGAGGUGAAAUUCGUAGAUAUUCGCAAGAACACCAGUGGCGAAGGCGGCUCACUGGCCCGAUACUGACGCUGAGGCACGAAAGCGUGGGGAGCAAACAGGAUUAGAUACCCUAGUAGUCC
rnacentral:rRNA from 1 species